GCAAGUCGAACGAACUUCCGUUAAUUGAUUAUGACGUACUUGUACUGAUUGAGAUUUUAACACGAAGUGAGUGGCGAACGGGUGAGUAACACGUGGGUAACCUGCCCAGAAGUAGGGGAUAACACCUGGAAACAGAUGCUAAUACCGUAUAACAGAGAAAACCGCAUGGUUUUCUUUUAAAAGAUGGCUCUGCUAUCACUUCUGGAUGGACCCGCGGCGUAUUAGCUAGUUGGUGAGGUAAAGGCUCACCAAGGCAGUGAUACGUAGCCGACCUGAGAGGGUAAUCGGCCACAUUGGGACUGAGACACGGCCCAGACUCCUACGGGAGGCAGCAGUAGGGAAUCUUCCACAAUGGACGCAAGUCUGAUGGAGCAACGCCGCGUGAGUGAAGAAGGGUUUCGGCUCGUAAAGCUCUGUUGUUAAAGAAGAACGUGGGUAAGAGUAACUGUUUACCCAGUGACGGUAUUUAACCAGAAAGCCACGGCUAACUACGUGCCAGCAGCCGCGGUAAUACGUAGGUGGCAAGCGUUAUCCGGAUUUAUUGGGCGUAAAGCGAGCGCAGGCGGUCUUUUAAGUCUAAUGUGAAAGCCUUCGGCUCAACCGAAGAAGUGCAUUGGAAACUGGGAGACUUGAGUGCAGAAGAGGACAGUGGAACUCCAUGUGUAGCGGUGAAAUGCGUAGAUAUAUGGAAGAACACCAGUGGCGAAGGCGGCUGUCUGGUCUGCAACUGACGCUGAGGCUCGAAAGCAUGGGUAGCGAACAGGAUUAGAUACCCUGGUAGUCCAUGCCGUAAACGAUGAUUACUAAGUGUUGGAGGGUUUCCGCCCUUCAGUGCUGCAGCUAACGCAUUAAGUAAUCCGCCUGGGGAGUACGACCGCAAGGUUGAAACUCAAAAGAAUUGACGGGGGCCCGCACAAGCGGUGGAGCAUGUGGUUUAAUUCGAAGCUACGCGAAGAACCUUACCAGGUCUUGACAUCUUCUGACAGUCUAAGAGAUUAGAGGUUCCCUUCGGGGACAGAAUGACAGGUGGUGCAUGGUUGUCGUCAGCUCGUGUCGUGAGAUGUUGGGUUAAGUCCCGCAACGAGCGCAACCCUUAUUACUAGUUGCCAGCAUUAAGUUGGGCACUCUAGUGAGACUGCCGGUGACAAACCGGAGGAAGGUGGGGACGACGUCAAAUCAUCAUGCCCCUUAUGACCUGGGCUACACACGUGCUACAAUGGAUGGUACAACGAGUCGCGAGACCGCGAGGUUAAGCUAAUCUCUUAAAACCAUUCUCAGUUCGGACUGUAGGCUGCAACUCGCCUACACGAAGUCGGAAUCGCUAGUAAUCGCGGAUCAGCAUGCCGCGGUGAAUACGUUCCCGGGCCUUGUACACACCGCCCGUCACACCAUGAGAGUUUGUAACACCCAAAGCCGGUGGGGUAACCUUU
rnacentral:rRNA from 1 species